AGAGCGAACGCUGGCGGCAUGCUUAACACAUGCAAGUCGCACGGGCAUUUCGGUGUCAGUGGCGGACGGGUGAGUAACGCGUAGGUAUCUAUCCUUGGGUGGGGGAUAACGGUUGGAAACGACUGCUAAUACCGCAUGAUAACUGAGGUUUAAAGGCGCAAGUCGCCUGGGGAGGAGCCUGCGUACGAUUAGCUUGUUGGUGGGGUAAAGGCCUACCAAGGCGACGAUCGUUAGCUGGUCUGAGAGGAUGAUCAGCCACAUUGGGACUGAGACACGGCCCAAACUCCUACGGGAGGCAGCAGUGGGGAAUAUUGGACAAUGGGCGAAAGCCUGAUCCAGCAAUGCCGCGUGUGUGAAGAAGGUCUUCGGAUUGUAAAGCACUUUCGACAGGGACGAUGAUGACGGUACCUGUAGAAGAAGCCCCGGCUAACUCGCGCCAGCAGCCGC
rnacentral:rRNA from 1 species